rnacentral:rRNA from 1 species
UCGGCGCUAAUACCUCAUAAUGCAGCGGAUCCGCAUGGAUAUGUUGUUAAGGUUUACCGCCUUGGGAUAGGCUUGCGUCUGAUUAGCUAGUUGGUGUGGUAACGGCACACCAAGGCUACGAUCAGUAACUGGUCUGAGAGGAUGAUCAGUCACACUGGAACUGAGACACGGUCCAGACUCCUACGGGAGGCAGCAGUGAGGAAUAUUGGGCAAUGCUCGAAAGAGUGACCCAGCAACGCCGCGUGGAGGAUGAAGGUAUUCUAUAUCGUAAACUCCUGUGAGAGCAGACGAAAGACAGAUUAUUAAUCUGGAUGACUGUAUGCUCAGAGGAAGCCCCGGCUAACUACGUG